rnacentral:lncRNA from 1 species
ACCCAAUUAAGAAUCUAAUUUAAUCAGAUUAAAUUAGAUUUAAAUCUGAUUUAAUUUUCUAAUCAAAUUAGAAAUUAGAUUGACCCAAGUCCUAGUUGAACUAGGACUAGUUUUUUCUUGCACUUGGCUUAUCCAAUAAACCAAUUGGACUUGAUCCAAUCAAGCUCAAACUAAAUCUAAUUAAAUUAUAUUUAAUUAUACUUAAUUUCAGCCUAUUGGCUUAAUCAAAUUAAGCCAAUUAGCAAUCGAAUUGCUAAUCGAUCCUCCUGCAACACUUGCACUGGGUUAAAUAUCAAUCGUAUUGAUCAUUUAACCCUAGAAUGAUUCUUAAUCGUUGAUCAACCAUCCGAUUGGGUCAUGAACUCUAAUGUGUGUGACCUCAUAGGUCCGAACCUAAGCCGAUAGCAUAGAAAUAAAUUUUUGUACCAAUCGAAGUGACCAUCUAGCAAUGGUACCCGACGAUCGGAUAGGUCGAAUGUGUAGAACAACAUCCUUAGAACCCAUGCAGAUAUAGUUUUCAUAUAAUUCAUCUCCUUGACCAAAAUGAUCAUAAGACACCCCAGAGUUCAACUGUCAACUCUGAUCAGGUUGUCCAUAUUGUAUUUCAAAAUAUCAAAUCCAUCUGAUGGAUUACCCUGGCCAAGGUUUUGCUAAAUUGAAAUAUAGCGACUCAUUCUUCUCCAACUCUUGGAGUGGUCAAUCCCAUCUCGAUCAUACUCUGACUUUGCAAGUACUUGACUAUGCCCAAAAAUCUUCCAUCCCUGAAUUAGAAAUUCAGUUAGUCCAGUACCAAAGCACAGUGAGUUGCGUGCAAGUCACUGAGGCGAUCUUAAGUCUAAGGGACACUUAUACCUAUAUCCCAUCAGAGACAUUCUCGACAGCAGAAUACUCUGGAGUUGGUCACGUUCAAUGAUGAUGUACCAAUACAUCUCACCUGUAUGCCAUACCAGUAUCUCCACACUCUUUGGUUAAGAGGACAACCAACCCAUAUGGCCUACAGCGACCUAUGCUCGAUAGAAGCUGUCGUCCUUAUUAAC